rnacentral:misc_RNA from 1 species
GGAAGGAUCAUUAACACGUUUUCAACGUUUUGACCCUAUCCUAUUUUCCGUGCACCCGGCCUCCCGACCUUUCCUCUCAGUUUAUUCUGUCUGUGAUCGUGCCGGGCGCCUUCGGGGUUCAUAAAAGUUUUUGAAAUCUGAAAAAGUUUUUCUCUAGUACGAUUUCGCUAACUUUUCCCGCUGGUGUUGCCAAACAACCCAAACCCUUAAAUCUAAUUGCUCUGAACUCUUUAGUUGCGGAUACAAUUCAUUUUGUUUCAACAACGAAUUAAAAACAAACAACAACUCUUAACAACGGAUAUCUUGGUUCUCGCAACGAUGAAGAACGCAGCGAAAUGCGAUACGUAAUGCGAAUUGCAGAAUUCCGUGAAUCAUCAAGUUUUUGAACGCAAAUUGCGGUCUCAUUUACGUGAGACCACGCCUCUUUGAGUGUCGGUUUAACUUCCUUCUGGCAGCGUGCUGUCUUUGUAAGGGCAUUUUUGAGCAUCUCUUGUUUCCACUCUUCACUGAGCUUACAAGUUGCUUUAAGUACUUGGGGAAGACCUAAAUAACCUUCCCUUCCAGUUUGCACCGCGGAAACAUGCGUUAAGAAGUGCUUGUUCUGAGGUGGCGUGGAUAAUUUCACUUCUUAAAUGAAGUGGUCCAAUACGUCAUCUUCUUUCUAGCAAUAGUGAGACGAUCCGGCGGACAUGAACACUUCGGUGUUUUUGUUUCAAUGGGCUUCUACUUGCACUUUGUAUGUUUUUUAGCACCGCUUACAAAACCCCACCAAACAGACCUCAAAUGAAGCGAGAGGACCCGGUGAAUUUAAGCAUAUUAUUAACCGGAGGAAAAGAAACUAACAAGGAUUCCCCUAGUAACGGCGAGUGAAGCGGGAAGAGCUCAACUUGAAAAUCGGUAGGGCAUGCGCCUGUCCGAAUUGUAGUCUAGAGACGCUACCGCGAGUUCGGGAUUCGGGUCAAAUUUCCUUGGAAAAGGAAGCCAAAGAGGGUGAGAGCCCCGUCUGUGACUCGUUUUCCCGUACGUGUCGGUUCGUUCUUCGAGUCGAGUUGCCUGGGAUCGCAGCUCUAAAUGGGUGGUAAAUUUCAUCUAAAGCUAAAUAUGGGCGAGAGACCGAUAGCGAACAAGUACCGUGAGGGAAAGAUGAAAAGAACUUUGAAAAGAGAGUUAAAAGUACUUGAAAUUGUUAAGAGGUAAGCACUGGAAGCCAUUCGGGAAGCGUCUCUAUGGGCUUAUGCCUUGUUCGAGGCGUUUUUGGGGUCAGCAUCAAUUUCUGGCGCGGGAGAAGGCCUUUACGGGCUCUACCAGCUGUCGGGGAUUGAGGUAAUCAGCGUUCAUUCGGUUUUAGCGUUGCGCAGUUGCGUGCCUUUUGUCGUAGAACAAAGUUCUGCGGUUUUUGGUUGCGUUUCUUUCGUUUCACUUUACCUGUUCGCUCGUGAUGCUGACGAUACGGUUUUCAUUGACCCGUCUUGAAACACGGACCAAGGAGUCUAACAUAUAUGCGAGUAUUUGGGUGGUUAAAACCCUGGUGCGCAAUGAAAGUAAUUUCUGGUAGGAACCCGUCAAACGGUGCACUAUCGACCGAUCUAGUAAUAGAUCUUGAGUAAGAGCAUAUCUGUUGGGACCCGAAAGAUGGUGAUCUAUGCCUGAACAGGGUGAAGCCAGGGGAAACUCUGGUGGAGGCUCGUAGCGAUACUGACGUGCAAAUCGUUCGUCUGAUUUGGGUAUAGGGGCGAAAGACUAAUCGAACCAUCUAGUAGCUGGUUCCCUC